rnacentral:rRNA from 1 species
UACGUAGGGUGCGAGCGUUAAUCGGAAUUACUGGGCGUAAAGCGUGCGCAGGCGGUUUUGUAAGACCGAUGUGAAAUCCCCGGGCUCAACCUGGGAACUGCAUUGGUGACUGCAAGGCUUGAGUGUGUCAGAGGGAGGUGGAAUUCCGCGUGUAGCAGUGAAAUGCGUAGAGAUCGGGAGGAACACCUGUGGCGAAGGCGGCCGACUGGGCCGACCCUGACGCUGAGGCGCGAAGGCGUGGGGAGCGAACGGG